rnacentral:misc_RNA from 1 species
CAGAGUUCUCGCCCUCGCGGGUAGAUCUCCCACCCACUGUUAUUGCUACUGUGUUGCUUUGGCGGGCUGCUAGGCCCAGCCUGGCCGCCGGCUCCGGCUGGCGCGCGCCCGCCAGAGGACCCAAAACUCUGAAUUAUAGUGUUGUCUGAGUACUAUAUAAUAGUUA